rnacentral:rRNA from 1 species
UACGUAGGGAGCAAGCGUUGUCCGGAAUCAUUGGGCAUAAAGCGCGCGUAGGUGGCCUCAUAAGUCCGCUGUGAAAGUCAAAGGCUCAACCUUUGAAAGCCGGUGGAUACUGUGAGGCUAGAGUACGGAAGAGGCGAGUGGAAUUCCUGGUGUAGCGGUGGAAUGCGCAGAUAUCAGGAGGAACACCAAUAGCGAAGGCAGCUCGCUGGGACGUUACUGACACUGAGGCGCGAAAGCGUGGGGAGCGAACAGG